ensembl:piRNA 21ur-5287 ncRNA
AUGUUCAUCAGCUGAACUUGA